rnacentral:tRNA from 1 species
GCCGGCAUAGCUCAGGUGGUUAGAGCACGCGGCUCAUAACCGCGGUGUCCGGGGUUCGACUCCUGUGCCGGCA